rnacentral:rRNA from 1 species
UACGUAGGGGGCAAGCGUUGUCCGGAAUUAUUGGGCGUAAAGAGCGCGUAGGCGGUCCGUUAAGUCGGCUGUGAAAGCCAGGGGCUCAACCCUUGAAAGCCGGCCGAUACUGUCGGACUAGAGUCCGGAAGAGGCGAGUGGAAUUCCUGGUGUAGCGGUGGAAUGCGCAGAUAUCAGGAGGAACACCAAUAGCGAAGGCAGCUCGCUGGGACGGUAUUGACGCUAAGGCGCGAAAGCGUGGGGAGCAAACAGG